rnacentral:rRNA from 1 species
UCGAUAUAGUUUGAUUUAUAUUUGGAUAAUGUAUUUAUUUAUUUGUUUAUAAUUUAUUGUUAUGAAAAUAUUUAUUAGUUUUUGUAUAUUAUUUGUGAUUUAAUUUUUAUAUUGUUGUUUACUGUGAAGGAUUAUUGAUUGAUUUCUGUAAGUAAAAUUUAUUUUUUGUACCUUGUGUAUCAGGGUUAAUUAAAUUUUAUUAUAUAUUUUUAUUUCCCGAUUUUGAAAGAUUUAUUUUAUUAUUUUAUUUAUUGUAGCAUAAAUAUUAAUAAUAUAUUAUAGAAGUGAAAUGUUAUACGUUUUCUUUGGUAUCUGGUUUUUUGGGAAUUGAAUUUAAUUCAUAAUUUUAUUUUUGUAUUUUAUUAUUUUGUUUAAUUUUGUUUUAAUAAAUUUUAUUAUUGAGGGGGAUAAGCUCUUUUAUAUAAUAUUAUGGUAUUUUAGUUAUUAUAUUUUGUUGGUUUUAUAUUAACUAUCAUUUUGAUUAUGUUAUAAUUUUAUUUUGUGAAUUUGUAAUUUGUUUUUAUCUAAUUUUUUACUGAAAUUUUGUUUAUAAUUGUAAAUUAUUUGUAAUUAUGAUUGAAUUAGUAUAUUAUAUAUUUUAUAUUAUUUGGUUUUUGUUAUUAAUAUUGUUAAUGAAUUAGGCAAAUAUUAUUUUCGCCUGUUUAUCAAAAACAUCUCUUCUUGUUAUUUAUUUGAAGUAUAAUCUGCCCACUGAUAUUACAUUAAAGGGCCGCGGUAUAUUGACCGUGCAAAGGUAGCAUAAUCAUUAGUCUUUUAAUUGAAGACUGGAAUGAAUGAUUGGACGAGAAGUAAUCUGUUUCUUUAAAUAUAAGUUGAAUUUAAAUUUUGGGUUAAAAUGCUUAAAUUUUUUAGUGGGACGAGAAGACCCUAUAGAGUUUAAUUAGUAAAUGGAUUUUUGGUUGGAUUUAUCUUUAUUUAUUAAUACUAAUUUGGUUGGGGUGAUUGGAAGAUAUUAUAAACUCUUUUAUUUGGUUUUUAUUUAUUUAUUGUUUUUUGAUCCAUUUUUAGUGAUUGUUAGUAAAAAUUACCUUAGGGAUAACAGCGUAAUCUUUUUUGAGAGUUCUUAUUGAUAAAGAGGGUUGCGACCUCGAUGUUGGAUUAAGAUUAAAUUUGGGUGUAGAAGUUCAUUGAUUAGGUCUGUUCGACCUUUAAAAUCUUACAUGAUCUGAGUUCAAACCGGCGUGAGCCAGGUUGGUUUCUAUCUAUUAUAUAUUAUUAUGACUUAGUACGAAAGGACCAGUUAUUUGAAAUAAUUUUUUUAUAUUGUUUAUUAAUAAAACUAUUUUGGCAGAUAAGUGCAAUGGAUUUAGAAUCUAUAAAUGUGGAUUUAUAAUCUACAAUUA